rnacentral:tRNA from 1 species
CGGGCUGUAGCUCAAUUGGAAGAGCGAUGGAAUUUGGCUGGGGCCACUCCAGAGAUGCAGGUUCGAAUCCUGUCAGCCCAC